rnacentral:rRNA from 1 species
UACGUAGGGGGCAAGCGUUGUCCGGAUUUAUUGGGCGUAAAGAGCGUGUAGGCGGCCAGACAGGUCCGUUGUGAAAACUCGAGGCUCAACCUCGAGAUGUCGAUGGAAACCGUCUGGCUAGAGUCCGGAAGAGGAGUGUGGAAUUCCUGGUGUAGCGGUGAAAUGCGCAGAUAUCAGGAAGAACACCUAUGGCGAAGGCAGCACUCUGGGACGGUACUGACGCUGAGACGCGAAAGCGUGGGGAGCAAACGGG